rnacentral:rRNA from 1 species
UACGUAGGGCGCAAGCGUUGUCCGGAAUUAUUGGGCGUAAAGAGCUCGUAGGCGGCCUGUUGCGUCCGCUGUGAAAACCCGGGGCUUAACCCCGGGCUUGCAGUGGAUACGGGCAGGCUGGAGGCAGGCAGGGGAGAACGGAAUUCCCGGUGUAGCGGUGAAAUGCGCAGAGAUCCGGAAGAACACCGGUGGCGAAGGCGGUCUGCUGGGCAGUUGCUGACGCUGAUGCGCGACAGCGUGGGGAGCAAACAGG